rnacentral:rRNA from 1 species
AAACUUAAAGGAAUUGCCGGGGGCCCGCACAAGCGGUGGAGCAUGUGGUUUAAUUCGAUGAUACGCGAGGAACCUUACCUGGGCUCAAAUGUAUGUUGACGUAUUCUGAAAGGGAUACUUCUUCGGACAAUAUACAAGGUGCUGCAUGGUUGUCGUCAGCUCGUGCCGUGAGGUGUCGGGUUAAGUCCCAUAACGAGCGCAACCCCUAUCAUUAGUUGCCAUCAGGUCAAGCUGGGGACUCUAAUGAAACUGCCUACGCAAGUAGUGAGGAAGGUGGGGAUGACGUCAAGUCAUCAUGGCCUUUAUGCCCAGGGCUACACACGUGCUACAAUGGCCGGCACAGACGGCAGCUUAGUGGCGACACUUGGCAAAUCCUCUAAAGCCGGUCCCAGCCCGGAUUGCAGUCUGCAACUCGACUGCAUGAAGCCGGAAUCGCUAGUAAUCGCAGAUCAGCCAAGCUGCGGUGAAUACGUUCCCGGGCCUU